rnacentral:lncRNA from 1 species
GGAAAAUGAGCAAUAUAUGCAAAUGAAUCAAUCUCUCUCCUUUCUAUUUUCCCAAAUAUCCUAGUAUAGAUGGGUGAAUGAAGAAAGGAAGGAAUGAAAAAAAUUAUAUUAAAUACUUAUUAUGUGCCAAGCUCACAUAAUAAGUACCAGAGAUGCAAAUACAUAAAUGAGACAGUGCCUGGUCUCAAAUAGUUUAUAUAAAAUGAAGGAGAAAACACACACACACACAUAUUUGAGUGAUGACUGAGGAAUGGAAUAUUUGUGAAGUCACAGAGAUUAUGACCUAAUCCACAGGAUAAUUACUUGGCCUGACCUUUAUAGGACCAAUGGUGAUAUACCAGUAUUGCUUUAUUUACUUAGUCAGGGAUGAAAAUCAGGUUGAAUGGGUUAUAAAAGAAGGCAUGGAUUUCCAUAAUGAGUCUCCUACCAGCCAUUUGAGAAAUACUUCAGAAAAACAAGUCCUUCACUUCUCCUCUACUAGUAUAUAGCCAACAUAAGCUGCUGAGCUUUGUUUAGACAGCAAGUCCAUCAUGAUGAUAUGAAGAUAAUUCUCAGCCUUCUUUGGAGUGCUUCUAUGGAUUGCCUCAAGUCAAACUGCUAUUUUUAAACUUGUGAAGAAAAUCAGGACAAAAGAAAAUGUUUUGAACAUCAAUAAAAGAGAUUCAGGAAGUUCA